GAAAAGCCUCUUGAAUUUAUCAUUGCUGGAAAUAAGAUGAUUAUUAUUCUAGGCAGACACAUUCCAGGGUUAUAUGCUGGAGCUGUGGUGAUGAAAUUUUCCAACACAAUAGAAAAAGACAUAGGAGCAGUACGGUAAUCAAAUACUGGCUGGAGUCUCCAAAAACUCGGUUUACCAGCAAAGAGAAAUCUAAAAAUGUUCAAACACCGGAUCCUGGAGGAGAAUCUGAAUGCUACAAAAAUUGAGAUUGAAUUGAGGUGCAGUAACAUAAACCAGUAUGUAGCUCAAAAAAUUGCUACUUUAAACAGGAAGAGAUUAAAGUAUUCUGGAGCACCACAAUGAGGACCUUUCUUAAUAGAUAAAUGACAUGCAUAUGAGUUAU